UUACGGCCAUGUCAUGUUGAAACACCGGUUCUCAUAUGAUCACCAAAGUUAAGCAAUAUCGAGCCUGGUCAGUACCUAGAUGGAUGACCAUUUGGGAAUACGAGGUGUUGUAAG